ensembl:lncRNA
GGCUGAUAUCCAGCAGAUCCAACCGCAGACCAGCAGAUCCAACCGCAGACCAGCAGAUCCAACCGCAGACCAGCAGGUCCAACCGCGGGCCAGCAGGUCCAACUGCAGGCCAGCAGGUCCAACUGCUAACCAACUGCCCACUGCGCUCGGCAUUAUUGCAUCACGUGACAUCACAGGGUACUGAACGCCCCCAGCCCAAUGGCGGCGGUGUCCUGGCCAGCCCCAGUCCCAGCCUUGCUCUCCACUGCCGCCCUUCACAGCAACGGCUCCACCCUACCCAGCUGUGGUUUGUUUGCCCCUCUUCAGCUGAAUCCAGGAC